rnacentral:lncRNA from 1 species
UUCCAUCACCAGCUAGCCCAGAAGCCAGAGGCCUGCUCCAUCCUGUGGGAGGAACUCAAGAGCCUGGAUGGGAACAUUCUAUCCCCGCAUCUCCAAAAAGGGAACUUACUAGCACCCAUCACACCAGCCAGGACCCUCAGCUGGCAGAGAAAUCAAAGUUGUAAUAUCUGUGACUUUUCAAGGGCCCUAGCGGGGGGAUCUGGUUAGAGUGGCUCUCAUGAAGGCAUUACCAGAGGAAGCUCCUGGAAUGCACACCACCUGCGUCUCCAGGAAGAACACAACAAAUGAAGCAUGCCCAAGGAAACACAGACCAAGACACUGGAGCUAUUGUGUCACAGAUGACUAAGACCCACCAACUCAGGUGUCCUAAUGAUGUGUCUCUCUUCACUCUCAGUCUGAGGAACCCAGUGGUGGAAUUGGAUUCAUUCAGCUGCUGCCACAAGGAACCCUGACGGAGGCGGUAACGGGACACAUUGUGUAUGUAUGUGAGAGGUGCCCAGAGGAAGUGGAAACUGAUAAGGGGAAGAGGCGGGUGCACAGCUGAGGAGACCAGAAUGGCUCUAUAAAGAGAGGGCCCGUGGCAGCUAGAAGAGGAUGCCAGGUCUCUUGGAACUGGAAUUAUAAAUGGUUGUGAGCUGCGACAUGAGUCCUUUGAAUGAUCAGGCAGCGCUCUUAACCACUGAACCACCUAUUCAGUCCCUGUACAAUCAAUGUUCAUUAUUCAUGGAAGUUCAUAUUCUACAGUUACCAUGAACACUGAGAGGGUGGGUCGUGAACCACUGCCUCUGCACAUCCUGGGAAACACAGACCUCUGCUCCUGCAGCCCACAGACCAAUCAGCACAAUGCCUUUCAUUGUGUUUCUACUAAAAGGCAUGCCACAGCCUUCUUGUACUUAGGAACACCAGGCCUUAUUUCAAAACAUGCUUGGGACUACAUUAAGGGAUAAAAUGAUCAAGGAAAAGCACCAGAAUGCAAAAGAAAGCAAAACUAAGACCUACCGUGGUUUAUUUUUAGUCUUUUGCAUCCUUCUGAGAGAGGUUCUUCAAACAUCUGGUGGACCUUGAUUGGCCUUUAUCAGAGGGAGGCCUUAAAAUGCUCAGUGGAAGCUUCAUGUGUAUGAGUAAUGGGCUGGGAGCUGUCUGUAGGAUGCUAGGACCGGGUGCUGGUCAGGUAGGCUCCUAUAAAUGGCCUCUGUUAAGGUCACUUCUGUGCUGUGAGUCUAGUUAAACUGUCCCUUUCACCUUCCUAUGUGAAACACAAGGCUGCCCACGGUGCUGCCACUUCUGACGGACCUCCCAGAAGCAAGUAACUUAAUCUUUCAUUUAGAUGUUUGUGCCCCCCCCAAGCCCCUGGAAUGCCACUCCCUCGUCAGGGCUCUGCUGUAGUCAUAUUUCCCUCCACACUCAUUCUCUUGCUCUCUGUCCCAGGGCUCAGCUAGUCCCCCUUUGUUGUCUGCUCUUUUGUCUCCUUUUGACUCUCAGUAGACAUCCCAUAUUCUGCAACAACUGGGUUUCCUGCUUGCUCCACCAGAUCUCAGUGUUUUCCAAGGUAUGCUUUUACCUGGUCUUGGUCUGGUUAGUUCCUUUGGUGAAACCUUAGAUUUUUGAGGUGAUAGACAACGGUAAUAUUGUGUGCCUUCAUCUGUUUUCUGUUGCUAUAGCAGAACUCCUGAGACUGGGUAAUUAACAAAUUAGAGGUCAUAUGGCCCACAGUCCCAGAGUCUGAGGACUCCCAGAACAUGGUGUGUGAAUCUCCUUGGCAGGUGUCAAGGGUCUUCUUCCUGUAUCAUAGCCUGGAGCAUAGAGUCAGAUGAUGAGACAGAGCAGGUAUGCAUCAGCUCAGAUCUCUCUUCUUAGAAGUCCAUCAGCAACGUUGUCCCAUGUUGGUGGCCUCAUUUAAUCCUAGUUACUUCUCCAGGACUCUACUUCUAAGCACCAUCAAGUCUAAAUUUGGGUAACUGAUUUUCAAGAUGCGUAUUAGAGGAUUUAUUUGAAGUGUGGUCCUGUGAUUCCCAGAAGUCAUGAAAGUGGUAUGGAUCUGCUGACGUUGCAAGAGUUUGAACCUAACUCAGGGGCCUACCCUUUUCUGGAGACUUACAAAACCUAACAAAACUUUCCCUACUCUACACCAUUCAUGAUAUUUCUCAAGAAUGGUAGACAUGGUUAAACCCCUGAAGCCAGGAUGCACUUAUUACCUGAAGAAACAGCAGGAAAAUGUCGAACAUAGAAGCCUUUAGGCUUUCUCUGUGGUUGUCUUGCUGGGGAACUGUUCAGUUAUAAGCAGAAGUUCCAGGUGGAUUUAAGGUUUCCCAGAGCCAUUAUACCUGGAUGACUUGAGUAUCACCAACAGGAGACUGCCAAGUUCCCAUGAAUACAUAUUAACUAGGGCUGAGAUAACAAUUCUACUUCCCCUCCAGUGUGACACUACGUGAUGACUGGUGGCUGUUUCAAGUGCUUGUUAAGGGUUGGGAGGUCUUAACCAGGUCCAGCCAUAUGAAAG